rnacentral:rRNA from 1 species
GGAUGAACGCUGGCGGCGUGCUUAACACAUGCAAGUCGAACGAGAAAUGUAGACGGAAACCUUCGGGCGGAAGCCUUCAUUUCGAGUGGCGGACGGGUGAGUAACGCGUGGGUAACCUGCCUCAUACAGGGGGAUAACAGUUGGAAACGACUGUUAAUACCGCAUAAGACCACAGCAUCGCAUGAUGCGGGGGUAAAAACUCCGGUGGUAUGAGAUGGACCCGCGUUCGAUUAGCCAGUUGGCGGGGUAACGGCCCACCAAAGCGACGAUCGAUAGCCGAUCUGAGAGGAUGACCGGCCACAUUGGGACUGAGACACGGCCCAAACUCCUACGGGAGGCAGCAGUGGGGAAUAUUGCACAAUGGGGGAAACCCUGAUGCAGCGACGCCGCGUGAGUGAAGAAGUACUUCGGUAUGUAAAGCUCUAUCAGCAGGGAAGAAAAUGACGGUACCUGAGUAAGAAGCCCCGGCUAACUACGUG